rnacentral:rRNA from 1 species
GACGAACGCUGGCGGCGUGCUUAACACAUGCAAGUCGAACGGAAAGGCCCUGCUUUUGGGGGGUGCUCGAGUGGCGAACGGGUGAGUAACACGUGAGUAACCCGCCCUUGACUUUGGGAUAACUUCAGGAAACUGGGGCUAAUACCGGAUAGGAGCUCCUGCUGCAUGGUGGGGGUUGGAAAGUUUCGGCGGUUGGGGAUGGACUCGCGGCUUAUCAGCUUGUUGGUGGGGUAGUGGCUUACCAAGGCUUUGACGGGUAGCCGGCCUGAGAGGGUGACCGGCCACAUUGGGACUGAGAUACGGCCCAGACUCCUACGGGAGGCAGCAGUGGGGAAUAUUGCACAAUGGGCGGAAGCCUGGUGCAGCAACGCCGCGUGCGGGGUGACGGCCUUCGGGUUGUAAACCGCUUUCGCCUGUGACGAAGCGUGAGUGACGGUAAUGGGUAAAGAAGCACCGGCUAACUACGUGCCAGCAGCCGCGGUGAUACGUAGGGUGCGAGCGUUGUCCGGAUUUAUUGGGCGUAAAGGGCUCGUAGGUGGUUGAUCGCGUCGGAAGUGUAAUCUUGGGGCUUAACCCUGAGCGUGCUUUCGAUACGGGUUGACUUGAGGAAGGUAGGGGAGAAUGGAAUUCCUGGUGGAGCGGUGGAAUGCGCAGAUAUCAGGAGGAACACCAGUGGCGAAGGCGGUUCUCUGGGCCUUUCCUGACGCUGAGGAGCGAAAGCGUGGGGAGCGAACGGGCUUAGAUACCCUGGUAGUCCACGCUGUAAACGGUGGGUACUAGGUGUGGGGUCCAUUCCACGGGUUCCGUGCCGUAGCUAACGCUUUAAGUACCCCGCCUGGGGAGUACGGCCGCAAGGCUAAAACUCAAAGGAAUUGACGGGGCCCCGCACAAGCGGCGGAGCAUGCGGACUAAUUCGAUGCAACGCGUAGAACCUUACCUGGGUUUGACAUGGAUCGGGAGUGCUCAGAGAUGGGUGUGCCUCUUUUGGGGUCGGUUCACAGGUGGUGCAUGCCUGUCGUCAGCUCGUGUCGUGAGAUGUUGGGUUAAGUCCCGCAACGAGCGCAACCCUUGUUCACUGUUGCCAGCACGUUAUGGUGGGGACUCAGUGGAGACCGCCGGGGUCAACUCGGAGGAAGGUGGGGAUGACGUCAAGUCCUCAUGCCCCUUAUGUCCAGGGCUUCACGCAUGCUACAAUGGCUGGUACAGAGAGUGGCGAGCCUGUGAGGGUGAGCGAAUCUCGGAAAGCCGGUCUCAGUUCGGAUCGGGGUCUGCAACUCGACCUCAUGAAGUCGGAGUCGCUAGUAAUCGCAGAUCAGCAACGCUGCGGUGAAUACGUUCCCGGG